rnacentral:rRNA from 1 species
GCAGUCUGCAACUCGACUGCAUGAAGUCGGAAUCGCUAGUAAUCGCGGAUCAGCAUGCCGCGGUGAAUACGUUCCCGGGUCUUGUACACACCGCCCGUCAAACAAUGGGAGUGGUGUUUACCAGAAGUCGUUAGCCUAACCGCAAGGAGGGCGGCGACCACGGUGAGCACCGUGACUAAUGUUAAGUCGUAACAAGGUAAC